CCUACGGGAGGCAGCAGUAAGGAAUAUUGGACAAUGGGCGAAAGCCUGAUCCAGCCAUGCCGCGUGAAGGAUUAAGGCCCUCUGGGUUGUAAACUUCUUUUAUAGGGGACGAAAAAAGGGAAUUCUUUCCCUCCUGACGGUACCCUAUGAAUAAGCACCGGCUAACUCCGUGCCAGCAGCCGCGGUAAUACGGAGGGUGCAAGCGUUAUCCGGAUUCACUGGGUUUAAAGGGUGCGUAGGCGGGUAGGUAAGUCAGUGGUGAAAUCUCGAAGCUUAACUUCGAAACUGCCAUUGAUACUAUUUAUCUUGAAUAUUGUGGAGGUUUGCGGAAUAUGUCAUGUAGCGGUGAAAUGCUUAGAUAUGACAUAGAACACCUAUUGCGAAGGCAGCAGGCUACGCAUAUAUUGACGCUGAGGCACGAAAGCGUGGGGAUCAAACAGGAUUAGAUACCCUGGUAGUCCACGCCCUAAACGAUGAUUACUCGACAUUUGUGAUACACUAUAAGUGUCUGAGCGAAAGCAUUAAGUAAUCCACCUGGGAAGUACGACCGCAAGGUUGAAACUCAAAGAGUAGUAGGCGUGNGAGUGCGACGAGACACAGGAGGAGG
rnacentral:rRNA from 1 species